rnacentral:rRNA from 1 species
GAUGAACGCUGGCGGCGUGCCUAAUACAUGCAAGUCGAGCGAACAGACGAGGAGCUUGCUCCUCUGACGUUAGCGGCGGACGGGUGAGUAGCACGUGGAUAACCUACCUAUAAGACUGGGAUAACUUCGGGAAGCCGGAGCUAAUACCGGAUAACAUGUUGAACCGCAUGGUUCAACAGUGAAAGACGGUCUUGCUGUCACUUAUAGAUGGAUCCGCGCCGCAUUAGCUAGUUGGUAAGGUAACGGCUUACCAAGGCAACGAUGCGUAGCCGACCUGAGAGGGUGAUCGGCCACACUGGAACUGAGACACGGUCCAGACUCCUACGGGAGGCAGCAGUAGGGAAUCUUCCGCAAUGGGCGAAAUCCUGACGGAGCAACGCCGCGUGAGUGAAGAAGGUCUUCGGAUCGUAAAACUCUGUUAUUAGGGAAGAACAAAUGUGUAAGUAACUAUGCACGUCUUGACGGUACCUAAUCAGAAAGCCACGGCUAACUACGUG